rnacentral:rRNA from 1 species
GACGAACGCUGGCGGCGUGCUUAACACAUGCAAGUCGAACGGUAAGGCUCCAGCUUGCUGGGGUACACGAGUGGCGAAUGGGUGAGUAACACGUGGGUGACCUGCCCUGCACUUCGGGAUAAGCCUGGGAAACUGGGUCUAAUACCGGAUAGGACCGCACCGUGAGGGUGUGGUGGAAAGUUUUUUCGGUGUGGGAUGGGCCCGCGGCCUAUCAGCUUGUUGGUGGGGUAAUGGCCUACCAAGGCGGCGACGGGUAGCCGGCCUGAGAGGGUGGACGGCCACAUUGGGACUGAGACACGGCCCAGACUCCUACGGGAGGCAGCAGUGGGGAAUAUUGCACAAUGGGCGGAAGCCUGAUGCAGCGACGCCGCGUGGGGGAUGACGGCCUUCGGGUUGUAAACUCCUUUCACCAUCGACGAAGGGUUUCUGACGGUAGAUGGAGAAGAAGCACCGGCUAACUACGUG